UACGAAGGGUGCAAGCGUUACUCGGAAUUACUGGGCGUAAAGGGUGCGCAGGCGGUUCGUUGUGUCGGUGGUGAAAGCCCCGGGCUCAACCUGGGAAUGGCCAUGGAAACUGGCGAACUGGAGUGUGGCAGAGGGGGGUGGAAUUCCGCGUGUAGCAGUGAAAUGCGUAGAGAUGCGGAGGAACACCGAUGGCGAAGGCAGCCCCCUGGGCUAGCACUGACGCUCAGGCACGAAAGCGUGGGGAGCAAACAGG
rnacentral:rRNA from 1 species